rnacentral:rRNA from 1 species
CAGCUUGUUGGCGGGGUAACGGCCCACCAAGGCUUUGAUCGGUAGCCGGACUGAGAGGUUGGCCGGCCACACUGGAACUGAGACACGGUCCAGACUCCUACGGGAGGCAGCAGUGGGGAAUCUUGCACAAUGGACGAAAGUCUGAUGCAGCAACGCCGCGUGGGGGAUGAAGCUUCUCGGAGUGUAAACCCCUUUCGACCCGGACGAAUGCCCGCAAGGGUUUGACGGUACGGGUAUAAGAAGCCCCGGCUAACUACGUGCCAGCAGCCGCGGUAAUACGUAGGGGGCCAGCGUUGCUCGGAAUUACUGGGCGUAAAGGGUCCGUAGGCGGUGCGGCAAGUCGAUAGUGAAAUCUCUGGGCUUAACCCAGAGGCUGCUAACGAAACUGCCGUGCUAGAGUGUGAGAGAGGCGAGUGGAAUUACGGGUGUAGCGGUGAAAUGCGUAGAUAUCCGUAGGAACAUCCGAGGCGAAAGCGGCUCGCUGGAUCACAACUGACGCUGAGGGACGAAAGCUAGGGGAGCAAACAGGAUUAGAUACCCUGGUAGUCCUAGCCCUAAACCAUCAGACUUGGGGUUUGCCCUGUACGGGGCAAGUCCCGUAGCUAACGCGUUAAGUCCUGCGCCUGGGGAGUACGGUCGCAA